CCAGGCUGAUCUUGAACUCCUGACCCCAGUGAUCCACCCACCUCGGCCUCCCAAAGUGCUGGGAUUACAGGUAUGAGCCACCUUGCCUGGCCAGCGUUAUCACUUCUUAAAUUUAUAGGUGUAAAGUGACAGCUCCUUUGGCAUUUUUAUGCCCACUCAGGAGACUGGGUAUUUUUCCAUAUUUGUUGUCUAUAUUUGGGCUUGCUUUUUUGUCAAUUACCUAUUCAUAUCCAUUGCCUAUUAAAAAAAAUUGGGUUGUUUGCCUUUUUGUUAUUAUUUGCAAAAUGAACAAAAGUAUCACAUAAUUGGGAUUAUUGAGUUCUUGGGUGUGUACAUUUUGUGUAUUUCAGUUUCUUUUAGAAGCAUUAAAGAAUAAUGUAAUAUAAAAAGUGUACAAACACAUUUUUUGUAGAGUUGAUAGACUUAAUAGAGUAGUGAGCCUAUGAAUUUUCAUGAAGUGAAUACACCUGUGUAUCCAGUGCCUGGAUUAAGAAGUAGAGCUACACUUAAAAUUUUAAUAGGAGUUGGUAAAUACAAUACCAAAAAGAUUUUAGUAUUUAUUUUUCCCACAGUGUGAUCAGUUUUUAAAUGUUUUACUAAUCCAAAGAACAAGAUCUCAUUAUUGCUUUAUUUGCAUUUCCUUGAACAUUAGAGAGGUGAUUAACUUUUUACAUAUUUAUGGGUAUCAGCAUCCAUCUUCAAACCAUCUGUUAAUCUCUUCUGAUCAUUUUCUUGUUGAGUUGUAUAUGGGGGAUAUUAACCCUAUGUCUUAUUGAAUGUGCUGCAAACCUUUUCCUCUAGUCUGUUAAAAAAUAUCUAAGUUUUUCUAUUAUGGUUUCUGUUUCCUGUCUUGCCUUAAGAGGGACUUUUCAGAUUGUAGAACUUUUUGUAUUUAAGAAAGAUGAUUUUGUGUUUUACUUUUAGAUCUUUACCUCAGCUAAAAUGUAUACUUGCAUGUGGUGUGAGGUAGGGGUCUGACCUUGUUUCCAGAUGGUAAGCCAUUUGCCCAAGUUCUGUUUAUUAUAUAGGUAGACCUGGUUUUAAAUUUCCAUUCUGCCCCUUAUUAGCUGCAUGAUCUUGGGCAACUGGAUAGCAAUUGACACAGUCGACCACUUCCUCUUUCUCAAAAUACUUAUUUCCCUUAGCUUUUGUGAUGUAAGACUGCCUUGAUUUUCCUUCUGCUUCUCUGGCUGGUCUUUCUUCUCUCUUUUUUUCAGAGUAAUUCUUCCUUCCUGGACCCUCACACCAUAUAUUUUGUGCUGAGUGAUCUUAUCCACAUAAUGGCUUCAGCCACAGUCAAAAUGCAGAGGAUUCCUGUAUUUCAAUGUCUAGUCUGGAGCGCUCAGUUGAGUUCUGGAUCUGUGUAUCCACCUGGCCACUUGACGCCUCCACUUGGAUGUCCCACAGGCACCUCCAAUGCAAAAUGACUCAUGAUCUUCUCCUCCACAUCAGCACUCUCACAGGAGUUCCUGUCUAAGGGAAUGGCAUCACCAUCUUCCCAUUAUAAAAGCCAUACAUUUGAGCAUCAUCCUUGACUAAUUCCUGUUCCUUCCUUUGUUGUACCCAGCGCCCAAAAGAAUGCCCAGCACAUGUCUCUGCACCCUGGUCCAGACACCGCCUCCUUUCACGUGGAUUUUGCCCUGCCUCUUCAGUGACCUCCCAGGAUGCACUCUGGCCUCUGUGAGGCCAAAGCUCUGCCCAGGUCUUUUCUGAAGGUCACCCUAAAAAAUGAGUCACAUUUUUCAGUGGCAUCUCAUGAUUUCUAGAAUGAGGCCCAAGCUCCUCCCCAUGGGCAGCAGCACAGGCUGCCUACAGUGUGGGCUGACCCCAUCCCAGCCUCACCUUGCUCACUCCCAAAAACCUUUUUCUGCCUCCUGCAGCCACUGUCCCCUUCUUGCUGUCCUUGAACAUGCUUUGACUACCCUGUCCACUUGGGGACUUCAGACACACCGGGUAUAAGUUUUAAAUAGAGGAACCUGGAACUAAUUCAGAAACUUUGUACCUGAGCUUUAAGACAACAAAACACCAAGCCA